GAGUUUGAUCAUGGCUCAGAUUGAACGCUGGCGGAAUGCUUUACACAUGCAAGUCGAACGGCAGCACGGGUGCUUGCACCUGGUGGCGAGUGGCGAACGGGUGAGUAAUACAUAGGAACAUACCCAGUAAUGGGGGAUAACGCCGAGAAAUCGGUGCUAAUACCGCAUACGCCCUACGGGGGAAAGCGGGGGAUCUUCGGACCUCGCGUUAUUGGAUUGGCCUAUGUCUGAUUAGCUAGUUGGUGAGGUAAAGGCUCACCAAGGCUUCGAUCAGUAGCUGGUCUGAGAGGAUGAUCAGCCACACUGGAACUGAGACACGGUCCAGACUCCUACGGGAGGCAGCAGUGGGGAAUUUUGGACAAUGGGCGAAAGCCUGAUCCAGCCAUUCCGCGUGAGUGAAGAAGGCCUUCGGGUUGUAAAGCUCUUUCGGCAGGAACGAAAUGGUCACGGUUAAUAACUGUGACUUCUGACGGUACCUGAAGAAGAAGCACCGGCUAACUACGUGCCAGCAGCCGCGGUAAUACGUAGGGUGCGAGCGUUAAUCGGAAUUACUGGGUGUAAAGCGUGCGCAGGCGGUUUUGUAAGUCAGAUGUGAAAGCCCCGGGCUUAACCUGGGAAUGGCGUUUGAAACUAC
rnacentral:rRNA from 1 species